UAAAGCUUUAUGUGCUGAGAGAUGGUCUCGCGUCUGAUUAGAUAGUUGGUGAGGUAACGGCUCACCAAGUCGACGAUCAGUAGCCGGUCUGAGAGGAUGAACGGCCACAUUGGGACUGAGAUACGGCCCAGACUCCUACGGGAGGCAGCAGUGGGGAAUAUUGGGCAAUGGGGGAAACCCUGACCCAGCAACGCCGCGUGAAGGAAGAAGGCCUUCGGGUUGUAAACUUCUUUUAGCAGGGACGAAGAACGUGACGGUACCUGCAGAAAAAGCAACGGCUAACUACGUGCCAGCAGCCGCGGUAAUACGUAGGUUGCAAGCGUUGUCCGGAUUUACUGGGUGUAAAGGGCGUGUAGGCGGAGAUGCAAGUUGGGAGUGAAAUCCCGGGGCUCAACCCCGGAACUGCUUUCAAAACUGCAUCCCUUGAGUAUCGGAGAGGCAAGCGGAAUUCCUAGUGUAGCGGUGAAAUGCGUAGAUAUUAGGAGGAACACCAGUGGCGAAGGCGGCUUGCUGGACGACAACUGACGCUGAGGCGCGAAAGCGUGGGGAGCAAACAGGAUUAGAUACCCUGGUAGUCCACGCUGUAAACGAUGAAUACUAGGUGUGGGAGGACUGACCCCUUCCGUGCCGCAGUUAACACAAUAAGUAUUCCACCUGGGGAGUACGACCGCAAGGUUGAAACUCAAAGGAAUUGACGGGGGCCCGCACAAGCAGUGGAUUAUGUGGUUUAAUUCGACGCAACGCGAAGAACCUUACCAGGAUUUGACAUCCAACUAACGAAGUAGAGAUACAUUAGGUGCCCUUCGGGGAAAGUUGAGACAGGUGGUGCAUGGUUGUCGUCAGCUCGUGUCGUGAGAUGUUGGGUUAAGUCCCGCAACGAGCGCAACCCCUAUUGUUAGUUGCUACGCAAGAGCACUCUAGCGAGACUGCCGUUGACAAAACGGAGGAAGGCGGGGACGACGUCAAAUCAUCAUGCCCUUUAUGUCCUGGGCUACACACGUAAUACAAUGGCCGUCAACAGAGGGAAGCAAAACCGCGAGGUGGAGCAAAUCCCUAAAAACGGUCUCAGUUCGGAUUGCAGGCUG
rnacentral:rRNA from 1 species